UACGUAGGGGGCUAGCGUUGUCCGGAAUCAUUGGGCGUAAAGCGCGUGUAGGCGGUCCGGUAAGUCCGCUGUGAAAGUCGGGGGCUCAACCCUCGAAUGCCGGUGGAUACUGUCGGGCUAGAGUGCGGAAGAGGCGAGUGGAAUUCCUGGUGUAGCGGUGAAAUGCGCAGAUAUCAGGAGGAACACCGGGUGGCGAAGGCGGGUCUCUGGGCCGAUACUGACGCUGGAGGAGCGAAAGCGUGGGGAGCGAACAGG
rnacentral:rRNA from 1 species